GUGAGUCAUCGAAUCUUUGAACGCAAAUUGCGCUCCUUGGUAUUCCGAGGAGCAUGCCUGUUUGAGUGUCAUGAAAUCAUCCACCUCUACUUUGGGCUUUUGUCCGGGGUUCUGGCUGGGAGUUGGGUGUUUGCCUGCGAGAGCUGGCUCACCUUAAAUGAAUUUCGGUCUGACUAGUGGCUAAUGGCCGGUUUGACUUGGCGUUAUAAGUUAUUUCGCUAAGGACAUCCUUCGGGGUGGCCGAUCAUGGACUCUGGUCUCGCUUCUAACGAGGCAACAUAUUUUGACAUCUGGCCUCAAAUCAGGUAGGACUACCCGCUGAACUUAA
rnacentral:rRNA from 1 species